GUUAAUGAACAAAAAAUUACAAUAGUCUCAAAAGCAAAUAAUCAAUCUUAUUCAUUAAAUAUUAAUAAAAUGGUAAUUAAAUUUAAUGAUGAUA
rnacentral:snoRNA from 2 species